CCGCCGGGCACCCAGCCUGGUGCGGGCACUGCCCCGGCCCCCCCGGCCCUUCCCAGCGCCGCCGAUCGGAGCCUCCCCCGCUUCCGAAUGCUCUUCCCACACUGCAGUCAAUGAACCUCUAAUCUCCUGGACUGAAAUGUCUGACGCUUCUAGAAUCAUUUCUUUGCUGCCUCGGCUCGCAGAGCUCCACCUACAGCAGCGUCUCAGCGGUGGGCUGGUGGUGUAUCUGCUGGGAAUGUCUGUUCUCUCGGGGUGGGAGGGAUGGAAGGAAGAACACUGUGCCUCUCACGCCACCCUUUAGGCCAGGGCUGUCCCCAGCAGCAGCUGCUGAAGGGUCUGAGGGACGAGGAGUGGAUGAGCUCUGCCUGAGUUUAUUCCUUGCUGCUGAAUAAACCGAGUUUAUUCCACGGCUGCUCCUGCCAGACGCCAACACUGACCGGACCCUGGUGCUCCUUGCUGUUGCAUCCCUCUGGAAGGUGGACAAAAAGGCAAAGAGGAGGAGAAGCUCAGCUCCUGAGAGGAGUCUCCAAACUGCUCCCUCUGGCUGCUCCAAGAAGCUGAACUUUCCCUGGAAGCCGUGUCUGGUGCUCCCAGGCCGUUACACGCUUCUCACUUGACUGCCCUGCUGGGAGCUUGACUUUUAGGAUGAAUUAUGCAAGAAACGCUGUGAAGCGUCAGAAAUUCCGAGGAUUGAGAAGAGUCCUCUCAGUGUAUGAACUCAUUUGUGGAUAAAGUCACACUCACCUGGAUUCCAGCUCCUCCAGAGAAGGACACGAGGUGUGGAAAGGAUCACAGAUUAGUCAGUGGACUUUGGUUUUGCUUUGGUGUGCUUGUAUCAUGUCUGAACAUGCAAAGAACUUGGGUUUGCACAUGGAAUCCAGUAAAUGGCACCUCUGUAAAUCAGUUA